UGGUUUUGCCUUCCCUGGCCUGUUUAAGGUUAGCAGUGUAUGAAGAAGGAGGGAAAUUCAUUGGCCAUCGGAUAUUGCCAGUCUCAGCAAUUCGACCAGGCUAUCACUACAUCUGCCUGAGGAAUGAGAGGAACCAGCCUUUGACACUGCCAGCUCUCUUUGUGUACAUCGAGGUCAAAGACUAUGUACCUGACACUUACGCAG